UCCGUGUUCACCACGGCAGUCUCCUUAGAGUGCCCAACUUAAUGCUGGCAACUAAGAACAAGGGUUGCGCUCGUUGCGGGACUUAACCCAACAUGUCACCACACGAGCUGACGACAGCCAUGCAGCACCUGUCACCUCGCCGUAUUGCUACGGACCUUCCCAUUUCUGGGUCGUUCGAGGGAUGUCAAGCCUAGGUAAGGUUCUGCGCGUUGCUUCGAAUUAAACCACAUGAUCCACCGCUUGUGCGGGCCCCCGUCAAUUCCUUUGAGUUUUAGUCUUGCGACCGUACUCCCCAGGCGGAGCACUUAACGCGUUAGCUGCGGCUCAGCAGGGGUCAAGACCCGCUAAACCUAGUGCUCAUCGUUUACGGCGUGGACUAC
rnacentral:misc_RNA from 1 species